rnacentral:snRNA from 1 species
UGACUUUUUUGUAACCGAAACAUCACAAUUAUGUAGGUGGUUUUAGCCAGGGUGAGGCUCAUCCAUUGCAUGCCAGGUGUGCUGACCCCUGCCAUUUCCCCAAAUGCAGGAAACUCAAAUGGAUAAUUUGGGGUAGUGUUCUCUCUCCCUUC